CAUGAAGUCGGAAUUGCUAGUAAUCGCGGAUCAGCAUGCCGCGGUGAAUACGUUCCCGGGCCUUGUACACACCGCCCGUCACACCAUGAGAGUCUGUAACACCCAAAGCCGGUGGGAUAACCUUUAUAGGAGUCAGCCGUCUAAGGUAGGACAGAUGAUUAGGGUGAAGUCGUAACAAGGUAAC
rnacentral:rRNA from 1 species